UGAAGGUGCUCUGCAUUGUAAACCUCUGUAGUUCGGGAAAAACAAUGGGUUACUACCCAUUUGAUGGUACCGAAAAAGUAAGGAUCGGCUAACUACGUGC
rnacentral:rRNA from 1 species